GACGAACGCUGGCGGCGUGCUUAACACAUGCAAGUCGAACGGAAAGGCCCUGCUUUUGUGGGGUUCUCGAGUGGCGAACGGGUGAGUAACACGUGAGUAAACUGCCCUUGACUUUGGGAUAACUUCAGGAAAAUGGGGCUAAUACCGGAUAGGAGCUCCUGCUGCAUGGUGGGGGUGGGAAAGUUUCGGCGGUUGGGGAUGGAAUCGCGGCUUAUCAGCUUGUUGGUGGGGUAGUGGCUUACCAAGGCUUCGACGGGUAGCCGGCAUGAGAGGGUGACCGGCCACAUUGGGACUGAGAUACGGCCCAGACUGCUACGGGAGGCAGCAGUGGGGAAUAUUGCACAAUGGGCGGAAGCCUGAUGCAGCAACGCCGCGUGCGGGAUGACGGCCUUCGGGUUGUAAACCGCUUGCGCCUGUGACGAAGCGUGAGUGACGGUAAUGGGUAAAGAAGCACCGGCUAACUACGUG
rnacentral:rRNA from 1 species